CAGUAAGAAACUAAUAUAGUUUUGUCUGUAGAAUACUUAGUUGUAAUUGGGAAAAACAACAGAACAACAUGGAGUCAUUAGAUUGAAAAGACUUUGCAGAUAUUGAGACUAUUGCCAUUUGAUAGGACAUCACUGUAGUAUAUUUUGUGUAUUGUAAACAUAUGAUGUUUUCAUAUUUUCAAGAUUGGUUACAGAGUACUUUCCUUAUUGUAAGACUCCUUAAAAUUGAAUGUGGAAUCCAUCUUUAAUUUCUUUCUUUAUUUUCAUUAGUGUCUCAGAUAUAAUGCUAAAUAAAACUCAGACUUUAUUACCAAAAAAAAAA
rnacentral:lncRNA from 1 species